AGUGAACGCUGGCGGUAGGCCUAACACAUGCAAGUCGAACGGCAGCACAGUAAGAGCUUGCUCUUACGGGUGGCGAGUGGCGGACGGGUGAGGAAUACAUCGGAAUCUACUUUUUCGUGGGGGAUAACGUAGGGAAACUUACGCUAAUACCGCAUACGACCUACGGGGGAAAGCAGGGGAUCUUCUGACCUUGCGCGAUUGAAUGAGCCGAUGUCGGAUUAGCUAGUUGGCGGGGUAAAGGCCCACCAAGGCGACGAUCGGUAGCUGGUCUGAGUGGAUGAUCGGCCACACUGGAACUGAGACACGGUCAAGGCUCCUACGGGAGGCAGCAGAGGGGAAUAUUGGACAAUAGGCGCAAGCCUGAUCCAGCCAUACCGCGUGGGUGAAGAAGGCCUUCGGGUUGUAAAGCCCUUUUGUUGGGAAAGAAAAGCAGCAGGUUAAUACCCCGCUGUUCUGACGGUACCCAAAGAAUAAGCACCGGCUAACUUCGUG
rnacentral:rRNA from 1 species